rnacentral:piRNA from 1 species
UGCAUGAACGAAACCAAUAAUCCUUGUAG